rnacentral:tRNA from 1 species
UCCCUCAUAGCUUGGUUGGUAAAGAAUCUGCCUGCAAUGCACAAGACCCAGGUUGGAUUCCUGGAUUGGGAA